UGUCUGUAAGGAAGAGAUGCUUCCCAGUUCUCCCUGCUAUUAAAUGUGCAGUUUGAGAGGCUCUUCUUUCAAGGAAAAGAAGACCACAAAGAAAUGGAAGCUACAAGAACCAGAAAAGAAAAGGCAAGAAAAAUAUGACUGAAAUUGCACGCAGUUCAUGAGUAUUAUAUCUCAAAUUGAAAAUCCAAGCAUAGUUGAAGAGUUACCUGCCAAUGAUGCCAUUAACCAUGAUCACAAGGUGUUGAGGAAGAGGUUUGCCAUCAUGAACCAAGUGAUGGUGGCGAGUCUCAAUCUCCGCCUCUGCCUCUGGUUUGGAAUUUGCGUUGGGAUUCAUGAAGCAGUUUACUCCGAUACGGUGAAGUAGUUUCAUUUUUCAAUCAGAUUUGUGCAGAGAAUGGAAGUUGAAGCGAUUGGAAUGAACGAUGAGGAUCGUGAAGGCCAAAGCUGACACAGACAAUUUCAUCUUCUUCUUCUUCUGUCCACCAUUAAAAAAAUGCUCACGCUUUUGUAUGUAGUGGAUACUUUUUGGUUGCUUACAGUACAAGACAAGCGCUUUUUUAUCACAUUCUGUCUGCUGAAAUAUUCGAAUGCUCGUAUUUAUUUAUAUCUGUACAAGUUCUGAGACAUAUUUGGUUGGCUAUUUGCACAUGAAGGUUUGUUUUGACUUUUGACCAAUAGAAA